GUUAGGAAUAUUGGACAAUGGACGCAAGUCUGAUCCAGCCAUGCCGCGUGAGUGAUGAAGGCCUUCGGGUUGUAAAGCUCUUUAGCCGAUGAUUAUAAUGACUGUAGUCGGAAAAUAAGCCCCGGCUAACUUCGUGCCAGCAGCCGCGGUAAUACGAAGGGGGCGAGCGUUAUUCGGAAUCACUGGGCGUAAAGCGUGCGUAGGCGGUUUUGUAAGUUGGGAGUGAAAGCCCAGGGCUCAACCCUGGAAUUGCUCUCAAAACUACAAGACUUGAAUUCGGGAGAGGAUAGCGGAAUUGUCAGUGUAGCAGUGAAAUGCGUAGAUAUUGACAGGAACACCAGUGGCGUAAGCGGCUAUCUGGACCGACAUUGACGCUGAGGCACGAAAGCGUGGGGAUCAAACAGGAUUAGAAACCCGAGUAGUCC
rnacentral:rRNA from 1 species